ACCAUGCAGUCGACGAGACCUUUUAGGUCUAGUGGCGCACGGGUGCGUAACGCGUGGGAAUCUGCCCUUAGGUUCGGAAUAACAGUUAGAAAUGACUGCUAAUACCGGAUAAUGUCUUCGGACCAAAGAUUUAUUGCCUAAGGAUGAGCCCGCGUAAGAUUAGCUUGUUGGUGAGGUAAAGGCUCACCAAGGCGACGAUCUUUAGCUGGUCUGAGAGGAUGAUCAGCCACACUGGGACUGAGACACGGCCCAGACUCCUACGGGAGGCAGCAGUGGGGAAUAUUGGACAAUGGGCGAAAGCCUGAUCCAGCAAUGCCGCGUGAGUGAUGAAGGCCUUAGGGUUGUAAAGCUCUUUUACCCGGGAUGAUAAUGACAGUACCGGGAGAAUAAGCCCCGGCUAACUCCGUGCCAGCAGCCGCGGUAAUACGGAGGGGGCUAGCGUUGUUCGGAAUUACUGGGCGUAAAGCGUACGUAGGCGGCUUUGUAAGUUAGAGGUGAAAGCCCGGAGCUCAACUCCGGAAUUGCCUUUAAGACUGCAUCGCUUGAAUCAUGGAGAGGUGAGUGGAAUUCCGAGUGUAGAGGUGAAAUUCGUAGAUAUUCGGAAGAACACCAGUGGCGAAGGCGACUCACUGGACAUGUAUUGACGCUGAGUACGAAAGCGGUGGGGAGCAAACAGGAUUAGAUACCCUGGUAGUCCACGCCGUAACGAUGAUACUAGCUGUCGGGCUCUAAAGUUUCGGUGGG
rnacentral:rRNA from 1 species